rnacentral:rRNA from 1 species
UACGAAGGGGGCUAGCGUUGCUCGGAAUCACUGGGCGUAAAGCGCACGUAGGCGGCUUUCUAAGUCAGGGGUGAAAUCCUGGAGCUCAACUCCAGAACUGCCUUUGAUACUGGAGAGCUAGAGUCCGGAAGAGGUGAGUGGAACUGCGAGUGUAGAGGUGAAAUUCGUAGAUAUUCGCAAGAACGCCAGUGGCGAAGGCGGCUCACUGGUCCGGUACUGACGCUGAGGUGCGAAAGCAUGGGGAGCAAACAGG